AAUAAGCGCAGCCAUGAGUUUUCGCGUCCAAUUUUGAUCAUCCGUCUUAUUUGAAAUUUUUUUAUAAUUAGCAUUUUUGUUGUUAUGAGAUGAUAAAACAUAAAUUGUAUUUUACUCGUGACUUAUGUUUUUAAUUUUUUGUAAAAUUUUUUUAAAUAAGACGAAUGGUUAAAGUUGGGCACGGAAAACCAUGGCUACACUUAUU
rfam:Oryza meridionalis cultivar OR44 (W2112) chromosome 4, whole genome shotgun sequence.